GUAGGGGGCAAGCGUUAUCCGGAUUUACUGGGUGUAAAGGGAGCGUAGACGGUUUUGCAAGUCUGAAGUGAAAGCCCGGGGCUUAACCCCGGGACUGCUUUGGAAACUGUAGGACUAGAGUGCAGGAGAGGUAAGUGGAAUUCCUAGUGUAGCGGUGAAAUGCGUAGAUAUUAGGAGGAACACCAGUGGCGAAGGCGGCUUGCUGGGCUUUUACUGACGCUGAGGCUCGAAAGCGUGGGGAGCAAACAGGAUUAGAUACCCUGGUAGUCCACGCUGUAAACGAUGAUUACUAGGUGUGGGGGGACUGACCCCUUCCGUGCCGCAGUUAACACAAUAAGUAAUCCACCUGGGGAGU
rnacentral:rRNA from 1 species